rnacentral:rRNA from 1 species
UACGGAGGGUGCGAGCGUUGUCCGGAAUCACUGGGCGUAAAGGGCGCGUAGGCGGCCGUUCAAGGGCGCGGUGAAAGCCCGGGGCUCAACCCCGGGUCGGCCGUGUCGACUGGAGGGCUCGAGCUCUGUAGGGGCGGGUGGAAUUCCGGGUGUAGCGGUGGAAUGCGUAGAGAUCCGGAAGAACACCGGUGGCGAAGGCGGCCGCCGG